ACAGUGUUGGGGGCAAGAUAUUUUUGGCUGCAAGGAACUCUAGUUAGCUUAGCUGGACUUUUUAUUUGCUUGAAGGAACUGCAUUUGGAUUUGCAUGAAUUUGACUAGAAGACAUGACAACAGCAAAUGGUGGGGCAGGGACUGAGGAGCACAAGAGAAAAACCAAUGAUCCUUUUCUCAAGUCCCCUGGGCACCAAAAUAUGCCCAAAUCACCUAGAUUGUGCACACCUAUAAGGAAGGAAUGGCCAGAGAGUUUGCCAAAUGACAAUACAAUUGGUAAUGAGGAUAAUGGAUUGAAUAGAUAUGUUACUUCCUUAGCUGGAUCUGGACCUCCUGGUACUAAUUUUUGUUCCACAAUUGAUUCUGAACACAUUGUUGAAGAAUUACCUGUUAGGAAUUAUAAGAAUCAGAAUAUAGAUGUAGUUAACCACCCGCAUAAUUCAAGACAGCCUCUGAGGAAUCAAUUGGCUAUUGAGUCUAAGUAUAAUAGCUUGAGUAGAGAAAUUGUACCCAAGGUUGAAUUACAGAUACCACUCAAAUUAAGCAAAGGACUAAAGGGAAUUGAUUCCGAAAUUUGGGGCCUGAAAUCUCUGCCACUGAAAGUGUCUGCAGAUAUAAGCAAUAGGAAUAAGACUAUCACCUCAAGCAAUGCACAUCUGAAUAGCAGUAAAACGCAUAAUACUUUGUCUGCAUAUAAUUGUCCUCAAUUGGUUGCAGAGCAAACAGUGAAGGGAAAGGGUGUUAUUUGCAAAGAUUUAGACAAAAACUUUGGUCUUGGAGGAGUGCUUAUGAGCCAAGAGGAUGAGAAACCUGCUUUUGCAACUAAGCUUCAACAUGACACGCUGCUGAGACCAAAUGUGGUUGAUAAUAACCCUUCCUUAAAAGAAACAGCCGUGAUGUGCGCAGAAUCUUCUAAUGAUGCACUCAACUUAAGAGAGUGGAUUAAGUCUGAAGAUCAUAUAAUGAAGAAAUCAGUAAGGCUACAAAUAUUUAAGCAGAUCUUGGAAAUGGUUGAUUUUGCACACUCCCAAGGAAAUGUCUUGAAAGAUUUGAAACCAUCUUGUUUCUCUUUACUGCCUUCAAGUAAAAUUAAAUAUAUUGGUUCAUAUGGCCACCGAGAAUUAGAUAAUGAAGUCAUGAAGCGCAAUGUGACUUGGAAAAGGCCUCUGGAACAGGAUAUCGGUGCUUGCCAAAGUUUGAGUACAAAGCAGCAAAAGCUCUGUGAGGAGACAGGAUCUUUUAGGCAGCAGCAUCACUUCACCUGUAUUCAUGGCUCCAGGACAAUGGUGAAUCAAACUGACUCUGACACAAAUGGAUCCAUGGAAUCAAGGAACAAAGAAAGUUUGUACCAAAAUGAUUCUAGUCAUCAAUGCACUUACACUGAUGAAAAGCAGUAUAUGUCUGUAACCAUUCAGUUAGAAGAUAAAUGGUAUUGUAGUCCAGAAGUGCUAAAUGGUGGACCUUGCACAUUUUCAUCAAAUAUUUAUAGCCUUGGAGUUCUUCUUUUUGAGUUGCUGUGCAACAUUGAAUCAUGGGAGGCACAUUCAACUAUGAUGUUGGAUUUGUCUUGUAGAAUCUUACCACCAAAAUUUCUAUCAGAAAACCCAAAGGAAGCUGGUUUUUGUCUUUGGCUUCUGCAUCCUGAGCCAUCUUCUCGCCCCAUCACCAGGAUGAUUUUAGAAUCUGAAUUCAUAUGCGAAUCAGAGGAAUCAAGUUCUGGAGAAGAUGUUGUAGUAUCUGAUGAUGAUGAGACUGAAACAGAGCAAUUAAUACACUUUCUAAUUUCACUCAAAGAAGAAAAGAAAAAACAGGCAGCCAAGUUGGAAGAACAGCUAAAUUGCUUGAAUGAAGAUAUUAAGGGGGUUGAAAGAAGUUAUUCAUUUGGAAUAGAUUCAGUAUUUCACAUAGCACAAAUGAACAAUCCUGAAUUGAGAGGAAAUAGUUUACAUUUUCAAGACUCUUCCAUCUCAGAUAUUAAUACAUCUAUUCCACGAUCAUUUGUUGAUGAAGAAAGAUUCAUGAGUAAUAUAAAUCAAUUAGAGAAUUCUUACUUUUCGACAAGAUUCAAAGUCCUUGCAAAAGAGGCAUCAGCUGUUUUAAACAAUGAUAAAAAUGUGGUGGAAAGUAGAUGGAGGUUGUCUCAUGUAGAGAAUGUUAAUAAGGAGCCUAGAGGAAUUCAGAAUUCUGUUGGUUGCCUGGGAUCCUUCUUUGAAGGUUUAUGGAAUUUUGCUCGUUACAGCAAGUUUGAAGAGUGUGGCACAUUAAGAAACAGAGAUCUUCUUAGUUCUGCUAAUGUAAUGUGUGCUUUAAGUUUUGAUCGGGACGAGGAUCACAUUGCAGCAGGUGGAGUUUCAAAGAAAAUAAAGAUUUUCGAUCUCAACUCUAUUUCAAGUGAUUCUAUUGAUAUCCAGUACCCAGUAGUUGAGAUGUCAAAUAAAUCAAAGCUUAGCUGUGUUUGCUGGAACAGUUAUAUAAAAAAUCAUCUGGCUUCUACUGAUUAUGAUGGUGUAGUUCAGAUGUGGGACGCAGACACUGGUCAGCCAUUGUCUCAAUACAUGGAGCACCAAAAGAGAGCUUGGUCUGUUCACUUUUCUCUGGCAGACCCAAAAAUGUUUGCUAGUGGAAGUGAUGACUGCUCUGUCAAACUGUGGAAUAUCAGCGAGAGAAACUCUAUGGGAACCAUCUGGAACCCUGCCAAUAUAUGCUGUGUUCAGUUCUCUGCUUACUCAACAAAUCUUUUAUUUUUCGGAUCAGCUGAUUACAAAGUAUAUGGUUAUGAUCUUCGUCACACAAGAAUCCCUUGGUGCACAUUAUCUGGUCAUGGUAAAGCUGUUAGCUAUGUAAAAUUUAUAGAUGCUGAAACAGUUGUCUCUGCUUCCACUGACAACUCUUUGAAGCUUUGGGACCUGAAUAAGACCAGCUCUUCGGCGUUGUCAUCUGAUGCUUGUGUCUUAACCUUUAAAGGUCAUAGUAAUGAAAAGAAUUUCGUGGGAUUAUCUGUUUUGGAUGGAUACAUUGCAUGUGGUUCAGAAUCUAAUGAGGUAUACUGUUAUCACAAAUCUCUGCCAGUGCCGAUCGCUACUCAUAAAUUUGAGUCAAUUGAUUCCAUUUAUGGUCAUCCAAAUAGUGGUGAUAAUAGGGGACAGUUUGUUUCAAGCGUUUGUUGGAGAAAGAAGUCUAACAUGCUUGUUGCUGCCAACUCAGUUGGAAUAGUAAAACUAUUGCAGAUGGUCUGACAGAAAGAGGAAAUAUUUGGUUCAUACUGGAACCUGUAAAGCAGUUCAGUUCCUGACACCAUGAUAUUUUGAUUUAGUAUCUCUUUCAAAAUACUAGGCAUAAUUUUUAUUUGAGGUGAACACUCGGUCCAGUGAUUCAUUCAGGAUUCGAUGAUUAAUGGAGAAUAAAGCAUAAAUGGGGUCAUGGUUUGUCAUUGCUUCUGAGGCAAGCAUCAAUGUCUCCUUAAUUUCCAUGCAUAGGUUCUAUCUCCACCCAGUUACUAAGGAUAAGGAAAUGGUGGAUAAAAGUUUUCAUGCAUUGAAGAGACUUUUGGCUGUGGCAUGAAUACAAGGAGUCAGUCACAGUACGUUUUGCUGUUCCUAUCCUUAUUCACAAACUACUCACUUCAAGAAUGCCUUAACUUCAACUACUCAGAGUUAAUUUUGUGAAUCCUUCCUGGCAAAUGAGAAGAGUCUUGAGUUUAUAAUUACUCAAGGUAUCUACUCAGUGUCUGAAGUCAGACUAAAAGCCAGAUUGUAUCUUGAAAAUUUGAUGGUGUUCUGUGUUCUAAGAAAGCUCAGAGUCUGAGACAUGACCAGAAGAGACUCUUCUUAUUGUCCUUGGACUUGAUAUCAUGUGGUUAUCUGAAGUAACCCUCAGACUUCGUGCUCGAGGGGACAUUUGUGGAGGUCUGGCUGAUCUCCCUCGUGGUGUACCUGCAUUGAAAAAACACAUGAUGAUGUUAAGAAACAAUUAGCAUUCACAUAAAUUUUAUUCUAUAUUUAUUUUUUUGGUUUUGAUCGCUGAGUGCGAAGGUCCUCAAGGGGCAGAUCUUUAUUUUGAGAAAUGUAAGUAACAUGUUUUCUAAUAAUCUUUUAUUAUCUGAUGAAAUACAAGUGGAUUUCACUACAAAGGAAAUAAGAAAGAACCACAUCAUUCAGUGUGAUUCACUCGUAUUUCAUCCUGUUAAUAAAUAUUGUUGAAAAGAGUGUAUUAUACAGUGUAUU